GAGACUUCAAAGGGAAUUUGACGGGGACCCNACACAAGCGGUGNNGCNNGUGGAUUUAAUUNGAUGCAACGCGAAGAACNUUACCUGGUCUUNACAUCCAUGGAACCCUGCAGAGAUGUGGGGGUGCCGUAAGGAACCAUGAGACAGGUGCUGCAUGGGCUGUCGUCAGCUCGUGUCGUGAGAUGUUGGGUUAAGUCCCGCAACGAGCGCAACCCUUGUCCUUAGUUGCCAUCAUUAAGUUNGGNAACUCUAAGGAGACCGCCGGUGACAAACCGGAGGAAGGUGGGGAUGACGUCAAGUCAUCAUGGCCUUUAUGACCAGGGCUACACACGUGUCUACAAUGGUAAGUACAGAGGGACGCCAACUCGGCGAGAGGGAGCUAAUCCCAGAAAANUUAUCGUAGUCCGGAUUGGGAGUCUGCAACUCG
rnacentral:rRNA from 1 species